AUGCAGCCUCUUUCUCGUUCACACAGGAACCAGUUUCCCAUACCUUUCUUUGGUUUGCCCAUUGUUCUACUAGUCUUCUUGGCUUCUCCCACCAGCUCUUGCACGGAGCAGGAGAAGAGCUCCCUUAUCCAGCUCCUUGAUGGGCUCUUGCAAGACGGCGGCCUCACGGUGUCAUGGCGGAGCGACACAGACUGCUGCAGCUGGGAGGGGAUUGUCUGCAGCCCUGAUAGGAGGGUCACUGAUGUUGUGUUGGCUUCUCACAGCCUUGAGGGGCCCAUCUCGCCGUUCCUUGGCAACCUCAUCGGCCUGUUACGUCUCAACCUGUCGCACAACUCACUGUCCGGUGGCUUGCCACUGGAAUUGGUAUCAUCCAGCAGCAUCAUUGUCCUUGACGUCAGUUUCAACCGCUUGACAGGAGCUCUGCACGAACUACAAUCUUCAGCCCCUGACCGACCUCUGCAGGUACUGAAUAUCUCGAGCAACUUACUUACAGGACCAUUUCCAUCCACAAUAUGGAAGACAAUAGAUAAUCUGAUAGCACUCAAUGCCAGUAAUAACAGCUUUACUGGGCCGAUACCAAGUGAUUUGUGCAAUAGUUCACCAUUCUUCGCUGUGCUUGACCUCUGUUUCAACAAAUUCAGUGGCAGCAUUCCCCCAGGGCUUGGUUAUUGCUCCAUGCUGAGAGUGCUCAGGGCUGGCUACAACAACCUCAGUGGAACACUGCCAGAUGAGCUCUUUAAUGCGACCUCGCUGGAAUACCUCUCUUUUCCUAACAAUGAUUUACAUGGUGUUCUUGAUAGUGCUCGCAUGAUACGCCUCAGAAAUCUACGAAUCCUUGAUCUUGGGUGGAAUAACUUCAAUGGCAGUAUUCCAGAUUCUGUAGGUCAGCUCAAGAGAUUAGAGAAGUUCCAACUGGGCCACAACAACCUGUCAGGGGAACUACCGUCGACUCUGAGCAACUGCACAAAUCUCAAAACAAUUGACCUCAAGAGCAACAAAUUUAGUGGAGGACUAAGCAAGGUCAAUUUCUCCAACCUGCGCAAUCUAAAAACUUUAGAUCUUUGGUCAGACAACUUCACAGGUACAAUUCCUGAAAGCAUGUACUCAUGCAGUAAUCUGACUGCACUGCGGCUAUCUAGCAACAACUUACAUGGGCAGCUCUCUUCGAAAAUAAGCAAUCUGAAGUAUCUCUCCUUCUUGUCACUUGGUAAAAAUAAUUUCACAAACAUUACAAAUGCCCUUCAGAUCCUUAAGAGCAGCAAGAACAUUAGCACCCUGCUUCUUGGGUACAUCUUCAAAGGAGAGAUAAUGCCACAGGAUGAUAAAAUUGAUGGUUUCGAGAAUCUUCAAGUUUUGGACACUGGAGAAUGCAAAUUGUCGGGAAAAAUACCUCUAUGGAUAUCAAGGCUCACAAAAUUGGAGAUGUUAGUUUUAAGAGGCAACCAACUAACUGGCCCAAUACCAGGCUGGUUUAAGUCCCUAAGCCAACUCUUCUUUAUGGAUGUGUCAAGCAACCAUCUUACAGGAGAAAUCCCAUUAACCUUGAUGGAGAUGCCAAUGCUAAAAUCAACUGAUAACUCAAGCCAUUUGGGCCCAAGGGUCUUCAAGCUGCCUGUUUAUACUGGCCCACUACUUCAAUACCUUGUGGUUACAUCUUUCCCAGUAGUAUUAAAUCUAAGCAACAACAACUUCACAGGUGUGAUUCCCCCACAGAUUGGUCAGUUGAAAGUUCUUGUUGCACUUGAUUUCAGCUUCAACAAGCUAUCAGGACAGAUCCCAAAAUCAGUAAGAAAUCUCACAAACCUGCAGAUCCUAGACUUGUCCAACAACAAUCUCACAGGUGCAAUCCCAGCUGCAUUGAACAAUCUACACUUCCUUGCAGCGUUUAAUGUUUCUGACAAUGAUCUAGAAGGUCCUAUUCCGUCUGGAGGCCAGUUUAACACAUUUGGGACUUCUAGCUUUGAUGGGAAUACAAAACUCUGCGGGUCUAUGCUCAUUCACAAAUGUGGUUCCGCAGAAGCACCUACGGACACUAUUCUGUCAACAAAACAAACUGAUUACAAGGUGGCUUUCGCGAUUGCCUUCAGUGCGUUCUUUGGUGUAGGGGUGUUGUAUGAUCAAAUAGUCCUAUCGAGGCAUUUUGGCUAG
rnacentral:rRNA from 1 species